rnacentral:lncRNA from 1 species
GGCGGUGACCGGAACGCAGAACGUGGCGUCCACGUAAGAACGUCAGACACUUCUCACCACAGAAUAAUCAAGGCUGGUGACUUCAGAGUUUGCCCUGGGAAUUUCUGAAGAUUGGAAUUUCUUCAUGCAGCCAGAAUCUAUCACUCAAGUGGUGACUACAACAUGUGAUGAGGAGGCCCAUGGCAGGUGAAAGGCCAGCUGGAGACAAGAUCAGGCCACACGUUCACAGCUUUUGAGAUGAAGGUGCUGGUCCUUGUUCCUUCGGUGUGAAAUGUCUUCUUUGAUCUGUUUCACUUAUGUAUCCAGCUGUGGAAUCGCCAUUGACCACAGCAAAUGAGCCCAGGCGAUGAUUCUGCUCAGGAAAGUCCCGUGCACAAGACAAGGACAUCCAGUUCUGUUUUAAAACCAAGCUUGGAGUAGACCACACAGACAGCUCACCCACCCGCAUCGCCCCUGGAGCACGUCCAGCCUUCUGGUCCCUCGGUGGGUGCUUUUCUGUCUUCUAGGAAAGGAGACAAUCUAUAUGGAGAUCAGGAAGUCCCUAACGGGUAAGGAAUUUAAAUGCAUAUUUGCUCAU